rnacentral:SRP_RNA from 12 species
CUGACACCCGCAGCGAGGGCAGAGUGGCAGAUUGGGUCAAGCAAUGGUGGCACGACGAUGAAGGAAAGCCAUGGUGUCUGCCCCUCCCCAAGGCAACAGAUGAGGUUGUUGACGGGGGCGAAGGAGGAAGUGAAGCAGGCUAUGAAGGGAGGGAG